rnacentral:rRNA from 1 species
UACGUAGGGCGCAAGCGUUGUCCGGAAUUAUUGGGCGUAAAGAGCUCGUAGGUGGCGUGUCGCGUCUGCCGUGAAAGCCCAUGGCUUAACUGUGGGUCUGCGGUGGAUACGGGCAGGCUGGAGGCUGGUAGGGGCAAGCGGAAUUCCUGGUGUAGCGGUGAAAUGCGUAGAUAUCUGGAGGAACACCGGGUGGCGAAGGCGGCAUCCUGGACCGAUACUGACGCUGAGGAGCGAAAGCCAGGGGAGCAAACGGGG